rnacentral:rRNA from 1 species
UACGUAGGGGGCGAGCGUUGUCCGGAUUUAUUGGGCGUAAAGAGCUCGUAGGCGGCUGUUCAAGUCGAACGUGAAAACUCGGAGCUCAACUCCGAGCCUGCGUUCGAUACUGGGCGGCUAGAGUCUGGUAGGGGGACCUGGAAUUCCUGGUGUAGCGGUGAAAUGCGCAGAUAUCAGGAGGAACACCUAUUGCGAAGGCAGCUCGCUGGGACGUUACUGACGCUGAGACGCGAAAGCGUGGGGAGCAAACAGG